AUGUUCAUGCUGGUUCAUCGUUUCCCAUGAUGGCGUGUGCACAGAACCCUGAUUUGCAGCUCUGGUGUUUCUCUCUGUUUAUUGAAAGCAUCUACCUCACAGGACUGCCAGUAUUGGAGCAUUACCCUAACUGGCCAUGAAUACAACUGUUGACAGGACCGAGGAUUAUGGAUUUUUCCAUCUCCAGCUCCGUACGUGGAUUCUGUGAGUCUCACUUGUGGACAUUGUUCAAGUCCUAUUUCUGGGCCCGAUCCUGUGAGAUUCCAGUCUAGUGAGAGUGGGACUCAGGAAAUGAACUUUACGUAGAACCUCAAGAAAUUCGGAUGCAGGGACUUUCCGGUGGUACAGUGGUUAGGAGUCCACCUGCCAGUGCAGGCAAUACGGGUUUGAGCCCUGGUCCAGGAAGAUCCCACAUGCCGCGGAGCAACUAAGCCGAUGCGCCACAACUACUGAGCCCACCUGCCACAGCUACUGAAGCCUGCACGCCUAGAGUCCAUGCUCUGCAACAAGAGAGGCCACCGCAAUGAGAAGCCCGCGCACCACAACGAAGAGCAGCCCCCGCUCGCCGCAACUAGAGAGAAAGCCCGUGCGCAGCAACGAAGACCCAACGC